rnacentral:rRNA from 1 species
UACAGAGGGCUCAAGCGUUGUUCGGAUUCAUUGGGCGUAAAGGGUGCGUAGGUGGCGCGCUAAGUCGGGUGUGAAAUUUCGGAGCUUAACUCCGAAACUGCAUUCGAUACUGGCGUGCUUGAGGACUGGAGAGGAGACUGGAAUUCAUGGUGUAGCAGUGAAAUGCGUAGAGAUCAUGAGGAAGACCAGUGGCGAAGGCGGGUCUCUGGACAGUUCCUGACACUGAGACACGAAGGCCAGGGGAGCAAACGGG